rnacentral:rRNA from 1 species
UCUCCAGACUCCUACGGGAGGCAGCAGUGGGGAAUAUUGGGCAAUGGGCGCAAGCCUGACCCAGCAACGCCGCGUGAAGGAAGAAGGCUUUCGGGUUGUAAACUUCUUUUAAGAGGGAAGAGUAGAAGACGGUACCUCUUGAAUAAGCUACGGCUAACUACGUGCCAGCAGCCGCGGUAAUACGUAGGUGGCAAGCGUUGUCCGGAUUUACUGGGUGUAAAGGGCGUGUAGCCGGGAAGGCAAGUCAGAUGUGAAAUCCGGAGGCUCAACCUCCGAAUUGCAUUUGAAACUGUUUUUCUUGAGUACUGGAGAGGCAGACGGAAUUCCUUGUGUAGCGGUGAAAUGCGUAGAUAUAAGGAGGAACACCAGUGGCGAAGGCGGUCUGCUGGACAGCAACUGACGGUGAGGCGCGAAAGCGUGGGGAGCAAACAGGAUUAGAUACCCUCGUACG